rnacentral:rRNA from 1 species
GACGAACGCUGGCGGCGUGCUUAACACAUGCAAGUCGAACGGAAAGGCCUCUUUCGGGGGGUACUCGAGUGGCGAACGGGUGAGUAACACGUGAGUAACCUGCCCUUGACUUUGUGAUAACUUCAGGAAACUGGGGCUAAUACCGGAUAGGAGCUCCUGCUGCAUGGUGGGGGUUGGAAAGUUUCUGCGGUUGGGGAUGGACUCGCGGCGUAUCAGCUUGUUGGUGGGGUAGGGGCUUACCAAGGCUUUGUCGGGUAGACGGCCUGGGAGGGUGACCGGCCACAUUGGGACUGGGAUACGGCCCCGACUCCUACGGGGGGCAGCAGUGGGGAAUAUUGCACCAUGGGUGGGAGCCUGAUGCAGCAACGCCGUGGGCGGGAUGACGGCCUUCGGGUUGUAAACCGCUUUCGCUCAUGACGAAGCUUUGUGUGACGGUAGUGGGUAAAGAAGCACCGGCUAACUACGUG